rnacentral:rRNA from 1 species
AUACGGAGGGUGCAGGCGUUACUCGGAAUCACUGGGCGUAAAGCGCGCGCAGGCGGUCUUUUAAGUUGGAUGUGAAAGCCUACGGCUCAACCGUAGAACUGCAUCCAAAACUAUUAGACUAGAGUGUGGGAGAGGAAGAUGGAAUUAGUUGUGUAGGGGUAAAAUCCGUAGAGAUAACUAGGAAUACCAAAAGCGAAGGCAAUCUUCUGGAACACUACUGACGCUGAGGCGCGAAAGCGUGGGGAGCAAACAGGAUUAGAAACCCCAGUAGUCC